AUGAUGUAAAGCUGGUUAAACCCAUGAUCCUGUAUAGCAUCAACAAUCUUCUUCAAAUCAAAUCCACCUCUAGAAGUCUCAAGCACAGUUCCACCUCUCUUAUGCCAAUCAUCAACCAUCUUCGGAUUCAAUCGUACCGGGUCAUAGCUAUAAAACCCUCGAUAACCCGCUUUAAUCCCAAAAAUCUCACGAACGCCGUACAAUUCCCACAACCCAACCACCAAUUCCCGAAUCACCGUAUUCAUCCCAGGGCACAAACCCCCACAGGUAACAAUCGCAGCUCGUACAGUAACAGGAUCGAAGAGAAUCUGAUUCCGAGGUCCUGCUCUGUGGUAAGCUAAUGGCGGAUUAGGUGAAGGGAAAGUUCCAGAGAGAUCUAGAACAUUGUGACGGAGAACGAUAUCGGAUGAGGUAAGGAAGAAUCCGGGGAAAGUACGGAAAAAGGGGUUAACGGCAAGUGGGUUAGUGUGGGUUUUGAUUUGGGAAUUGUAGUUUGUGAGAUGCGAUAUGUGUUGUAGCUGAACAUUCGAGAUGGAAAUUGAAGGAGAUGAAUUCGACAUGAUCGAGAAAUAUCGAUUGCUUGUUGAAUCCUUCGAAUAUCGAAGUUUUCAUAGAAGCUAAAGAUGAAACGUGGCGGGUAAG
rnacentral:misc_RNA from 1 species